rnacentral:rRNA from 2 species
ACAUGCAAGUCGAACGAACUCUGGUAUUGAUUGGUGCUUGCAUCAUGAUUUACAUUUGAGUGAGUGGCGAACUGGUGAGUAACACGUGGGAAACCUGCCCAGAAGCGGGGGAUAACACCUGGAAACAGAUGCUAAUACCGCAUAACAACUUGGACCGCAUGGUCCGAGCUUGAAAGAUGGCUUCGGCUAUCACUUUUGGAUGGUCCCGCGGCGUAUUAGCUAGAUGGUGGGGUAACGGCUCACCAUGGCAAUGAUACGUAGCCGACCUGAGAGGGUAAUCGGCCACAUUGGGACUGAGACACGGCCCAAACUCCUACGGGAGGCAGCAGUAGGGAAUCUUCCACAAUGGACGAAAGUCUGAUGGAGCAACGCCGCGUGAGUGAAGAAGGGUUUCGGCUCGUAAAACUCUGUUGUUAAAGAAGAACAUAUCUGAGAGUAACUGUUCAGGUAUUGACGGUAUUUAACCAGAAAGCCACGGCUAACUACGUGCCAGCAGCCGCGGUAAUACGUAGGUGGCAAGCGUUGUCCGGAUUUAUUGGGCGUAAAGCGAGCGCAGGCGGUUUUUUAAGUCUGAUGUGAAAGCCUUCGGCUCAACCGAAGAAGUGCAUCGGAAACUGGGAAACUUGAGUGCAGAAGAGGACAGUGGAACUCCAUGUGUAGCGGUGAAAUGCGUAGAUAUAUGGAAGAACACCAGUGGCGAAGGCGGCUGUCUGGUCUGUAACUGACGCUGAGGCUCGAAAGUAUGGGUAGCAAACAGGAUUAGAUACCCUGGUAGUCCAUACCGUAAACGAUGAAUGCUAAGUGUUGGAGGGUUUCCGCCCUUCAGUGCUGCAGCUAACGCAUUAAGCAUUCCGCCUGGGGAGUACGGCCGCAAGGCUGAAACUCAAAGGAAUUGACGGGGGCCCGCACAAGCGGUGGAGCAUGUGGUUUAAUUCGAAGCUACGCGAAGAACCUUACCAGGUCUUGACAUACUAUGCAAAUCUAAGAGAUUAGACGUUCCCUUCGGGGACAUGGAUACAGGUGGUGCAUGGUUGUCGUCAGCUCGUGUCGUGAGAUGUUGGGUUAAGUCCCGCAACGAGCGCAACCCUUAUUAUCAGUUGCCAGCAUUAAGUUGGGCACUCUGGUGAGACUGCCGGUGACAAACCGGAGGAAGGUGGGGAUGACGUCAAAUCAUCAUGCCCCUUAUGACCUGGGCUACACACGUGCUACAAUGGAUGGUACAACGAGUUGCGAACUCGCGAGAGUAAGCUAAUCUCUUAAAGCCAUUCUCAGUUCGGAUUGUAGGCUGCAACUCGCCUACAUGAAGUCGGAAUCGCUAGUAAUCGCGGAUCAGCAUGCCGCGGUGAAUACGUUCCCGGGCCUUGUACACACCGCCCGUCACACCAUGAGAGUUUGUAACACCCAAAGUCGGUGGGGUAACCUUUUAGGAACCAGCCGCCUAU